UGCGUAGGCGGCCUGGUAAGUCUGGCGUGAAAGCCCAGGGCUCAGCCCUGGAAGUGCGCUAGAAACUGCAAGGCUAGAGUGCCGGAGGGGAGAGUGGAAUUCCUGGUGUAGCGGUGAAAUGCGUAGAUAUCAGGAGGAAUACCGGUGGCGAAAGCGACUCUCUGGACGGCAACUGACGCUGAGGCAAGCUGGGGAGCAAACA
rnacentral:rRNA from 1 species